rnacentral:rRNA from 1 species
CUCUUGAUUAUAUUUUUGAGGUCUGGCCUGCUCACUGACAAGUUUUUAAAGAGCCGCGGUAUUUUGACCGUGCAAAGGUAGCAUAAUCAUUAGUCUCUUAAUUAGGGGCUGGAAUGAAUGGCUUGAUGAGAAAUUAACUGUCUCUUAUUAAACUAUAGAAUUUAACUUUUGAGUUAAAAGGCUUAAAUUUUUCUUAAAGACGAGAAGACCCUAUAGAGCUUGACAUUUUAUUUUAAUAUAAUUUUUAGAUAGUCUUUUUAUAUUUUAAGAUAAUGUUUUGUUGGGGUGACAUGAAGAAUAGAUAAACUCUUCAUUAUAAAAUCAUUGAUUUAUGUUUAUUUGGAUCCAUAAUUUAUGAUCAUAAGAUUAAGUUACCUUAGGGAUAACAGCGUAAUUGUUUUUGGAGAGCUCAUAUUUGACAAAGCAGAUUGCGACCUCGAUGUUGGAUUAAGAAUAAUUUUGGGUGCAGGAGUCCAGUAAUUAGGUCUGUUCGACCUUUAAAUCU